UACGAAGGGGGCUAGCGUUGCUCGGAAUUACUGGGCGUAAAGGGUGCGUAGGCGGGUCUUUAAGUCGGUGGUGAAAUCCUGGAGCUCAACUCCAGAACUGCCUUCGAUACUGGGAGUCUCGAGUCCGAGAGAGGUGAGUGGAACUGCGAGUGUAGAGGUGAAAUUCGUAGAUAUUCGCAAGAACACCAGUGGCGAAGGCGGCUCACUGGUUCGGUACUGACGCUGAGGUGCGAAAGCGUGGGGAGCAAACAGG
rnacentral:rRNA from 1 species